rnacentral:rRNA from 1 species
GCGUGAGGGAUGAAGGCCUUUGGGUUGUAAACCUCUUUUCUCAGGCAAGAACACAAUGACGGUACCUGAGGAAUAAGCCUCGGCUAACUCCGUGCCAGCAGGCGCGGUAAGACGGAGGAGGCAAGCGUUAUCCGGAAUUAUUGGGCGUAAAGCGUCCGCAGGUGGCUUUCCAAGUCUGCUGUCAAAGCCGAGGCUUAACCUCGGAUCGGCGGUGGAAACUGGAUCGCUAGAGUACGUCAGGGGUAGGGGGAAUUCCCGGUGAAGCGGUGAAAUGCGCAGAUAUCGGGAAGAACACCAGCGACGAAAGUGCGCUACUGGGACGUUACUGACACUCAUGGACGAAAGCUAGGGGAGCGAAAGGGAUUAGAUACCCCUGUAGUCCUUGCCGUAAACGAUGGACACUAGGUGUUGCUGGUAUCCACUC